rnacentral:rRNA from 1 species
UACGAAGGGGGGCUAGCGUUGUUCGGAAUUACUGGGCGUAAAGCGCACGUAGGCGGAAUGUUAAGUCAGGGGUGAAAUCCCGGGGCUCAACCCCGGAACUGCCUUUGAUACUGGCAUUCUCGAGUCCGGAAGAGGUGAGUGGAAUUCCGAGUGUAGAGGUGAAAUUCGUAGAUAUUCGGAGGAACACCAGUGGCGAAGGCGGCUCACUGGUCCGGUACUGACGCUGAGGUGCGAAAGCCAGGGGGAGCAAACGGG